rnacentral:rRNA from 1 species
AGAACGAACGCUGGCGGCAUGCCUAAUACAUGCAAGUCGAACGAACACUUCGGUGUUAGUGGCGCACGGGUGCGUAACGCGUGGGAAUCUGCCCUUGGGUUCGGAAUAACAGUUGGAAACGACUGCUAAUACCGGAUGAUGUCGAAAGAUCAAAGAUUUAUCGCCCAGGGAUGAGCCCGCGUAGGAUUAGCUAGUUGGUGAGGUAAAGGCUCACCAAGGCGACGAUCCUUAGCUGGUCUGAGAGGAUGAUCAGCCACACUGGGACUGAGACACGGCCCAGACUCCUACGGGGAGCAGCGAGUAGGGAAUA